UGUUGGGUGACUGCGUACCUUUUGUAUAAUGGGUCAGCGACUUAUUUUCAGUGGCAAGCUUAACCGAAUAGGGGAGGCGUAGCGAAAGCGAGUCUUAAUAGGGCGUCUAGUCGCUGGGAAUAGACCCGAAACCGGGCGAUCUAUCCAUGGGCAGGUUGAAGGUUGGGUAACACUAACUGGAGGACCGAACCGACUACCGUUGAAAAGUUAGCGGAUGACCUGUGGAUCGGAGUGAAAGGCUAAUCAAGCUCGGAGAUAGCUGGUUCUCCUCGAAAGCUAUUUAGGUAGCGCCUCAUGUAUCACUGUAGGGGGUAGAGCACUGUUUCGGCUAGGGGGCCAUCCCGGCUUACCAAACCGAUGCAAACUCCGAAUACCUACAAGUGCCGAGCAUGGGAGACACACGGCGGGUGCUAACGUCCGUCGUGAAAAGGGAAACAACCCAGACCGUCAGCUAAGGUCCCAAAGUUAUGGUUAAGUGGGAAACGAUGUGGGAAGGCUUAGACAGCUAGGAGGUUGGCUUAGAAGCAGCCACCCUUUAAAGAAAGCGUAAUAGCUCACUAGUCGAGUCGGCCUGCGCGG
rnacentral:rRNA from 1 species